rnacentral:rRNA from 1 species
AUUGAACGCUGGCGGCAGGCUUAACACAUGCAAGUCGAGCGGGGGAAGUUGCUUCGGUAAUUGACCUAGCGGCGGACGGGUGAGUAGUACUUAGGAAUCUGCCUAUUAAUGGGGGACAACAUCUCGAAAGGGAUGCUAAUACCGCAUACGCCCUACGGGGGAAAGCAGGGGAUCACUUGUGACCUUGCGUUAAUAGAUGAGCCUAAGUCGGAUUAGCUAGUUGGUGGGGUAAAGGCCUACCAAGGCGACGAUCUGUAGCGGGUCUGAGAGGAUGAUCCGCCACACUGGGACUGAGACACGGCCCAGACUCCUACGGGAGGCAGCAGUGGGGAAUAUUGGACAAUGGGCGGAAGCCUGAUCUAGCCAUGCCGCGUGUGUGAAGAAGGCCUUUUGGUUGUAAAGCACUUUAAGCGAGGAGGAGGCUACUUAGAUUAAUACUCUGGGAUAGUGGACGUUACUCGCAGAAUAAGCACCGGCUAACUCUGUGCCAGCCGCCGCAGUAA